rnacentral:lncRNA from 1 species
UUGGAUGUAUGGAAAGAAUGGAGUGGAAAAGUUUGGAGGCCGCCAGCUUUUUUUUGAUUUUCAACCGAGCGCCGGCUCAAGGUGGAGGCCGGUGUUUUUUCUUCCUGGGCGCCUAUUCAAGCGGGAGGAGGGUCGGUUUACUAUGGGUUUUGAUCCUAUCCUAUGCGCUAGUUUUCACGGGGUUUGCUCCGGUUCUACUAUUGACGUAUGAAAUUUUGAGGUGGAAGAUUUGAGUGCUUUAUUAAUAGGUAAAUAUUUCUUCGGCCACCAUAUGCAUAAUGCAUCGAUCCGUUGGAGUA